CAGGUGGGCACCAGGUGCUGAAUAAUGUCUCUGUAUAGAGUGAGUGGGUGAUUGGCUAGCUGUCAAACUACAGCGGGGAGGCAGAGCCAGGCUUCUUUCAAGCACAAUCCCUACCUACGUACUGCCAACCCAUCUGCUUCCCCACCACCACCGCCAUCUUGUGCAGUGUUCCGGGCCUGGCUCUGAUGUGGUUUUUUGACCUUUACUUGGCUACUCCCAAAGGUUAGAGUACAUUGCACCCCUCAACAGAGAAAACUCCCAGGUUAAUCAGCUCAGUGGAAGAUGAAUUAUCAUCCCACAUUCCAUGUGUGAUUGGAGGAAUUCCAAAAAGAACCUUCCAAGGAUGGCGGCCCCACUUCUGGGGAGAUGGGCAGUGGCUCUAGUUCUGGAAAGUGCAUCCCCAGGCACUACGAUAGAGGUGGCUUUGGGUACCUUCCUGCCUCUCACUGUGCCACCUGCAGACUUUGCCAAAGAGAUGAGUCCGGCAAGGACUCUGCUUCUUGUGUAAUCAAGGAAAUAGGAUCAAUCAGAAGGGGACAUCCGCAUCCCGACGCCCAACGUCUACAUCCUACUACAUGUGUCCUGCGCAUUUGAAUGCCUCCUGCUACAAAGGAUGAGAUGUUUAUGCUCCUGUGUAAGAACCACCCCUCCCGCCUGCCCAGUUGUCUCCUAUCACUUCUGAAUCAUCAUUUUCUCCCCCUCUCCUGAAUCAUUUCAAUCAACAUGCCAAGAUUCUUGAGUAUCUCUCAUCUUAAAAACAAAAAUUCCACCUCUCUUGACCUUAUACCACUCUCCAGCUAUCACCCAUUUUUUCUGUUUGCUUUUACAGCAAAACCCUUAAAGAAUUGUCUCUACUCCUCUGGUUCCUCGCUUUGUUUUCUCUCUUGAACCUUCUGCACUCAGCCUUUUGUACCUGUCAUGACACUGAAACCACUCUUACCUAGGUUGCUAGUUACCUCCAUGUUGCCAGAUUGAAGGUCCAUUCUCUAUCUGACUGUUUAACAGCAUCUAACGCAGUUGUCUGCUCCUUCUUCUAUGAAACACUUGCUUCAUAUCGUCUUGUGAUACGGCUUUGAUUCUCUUCAUACCUUUCUGCCUGGUGUCAGCCUUCUCUGUUGGAUCCUUCUCCUAGUCCCCAUUUCUGAAUAUUGAUGUGCUGCACAACUCAGCCUUAGGGCUGGGCAGCCUUAGGGCUGCUCUACCAGCUACAUUCACUCCUCAAGUGAUCUCAUCUCAUCCUUUCUCAUGAUAUUAAAUACCACCUACAUGUGUGUAUAUAUUUGUAUGCCAAAAUUACAUCUUCAGUCAUGACCUUUCUCUCUGAAGCCUAGUGUUUAUAUUCAACUGCCUGUUAGAUACCUCUACUUGGAUGUCUAAUAGGAAUGUCAAAUUCACUGUGUCUAAAACCAAGCUCUUGAUUUGCUUCUUUCAGAUUGGCAUCUCCCCCACUGUUGUCCUUCUCAGUAAAUGCAAUCACUGUUCAUCUUGCUGCUCAUGCCAAAAAUCUUGCAGUUAAUCUUGAGUCCUUUCUUCUAAUUUAUUAGCUAAGCCUGUAGGCUCUACCAUCAAAAUAUAUCUUGGCAUCUGCCAAAUUUUCACUACCUCUAUACAGCCAGCUUUGUCUGAGCGAGCCACCAUUAUUUCUUCCCUUGACCAUUGCAAUAGUCACUGCAUCCGUCUCCAGGAUCCCUCUUUCUCCUCUCUUCCCUGAUCAGUAAUGCCCUCAUGAUCUUCACAUCCUUUAUUGAUCUCCGUCUCAGGCAAUCUACCGUCAGGGGGAGAUAAAAUUUUCUCUGCAGCCUCAUCUCCUACUUCACCCCUCUUGUAACGGCACUCCUGCUACAUUAUGCAGUGUUUCUGGAUUGUAACAUGCACACUCCUGCUUCAGGGCAAUUGCACCUGCUCUCACUCCCAUGUGGCUUGCUCCCUCCCUUCAUUCAGAUGUCUGCUUAAAUGGCAUUUUUUCACACAGGUCUUCCCUAAAGUGUGGUGUCCCUAUCCCUCUCCAUCCUCUUGCCUGGCUCCACUUCUUCAUAUCAUUAAUCCCACCUGACAUUAUAUUAUAUCUCCAUCACUAGAAUUUAAGCUUCAUGAGGGCAGGGACUUUAUAUGUAUACUUCACUCUGGGAUUCUCAGUACCUGACACGUAAUAGGUGUUCAGUAAAUAUCUACUGAACCAAUAAACAAAUGAACAAAACCAUCUAAAUUCUGGGUGUGAUAAAAGCAGAAUAUAAGAUAAGACUGACCAUUACUUGCCAUCUUAACUUUACAUUUAGAAUAAAAUAAUCCAGCAUUCUCAAGUAUCGUCAUUGGUCUUCUCUUCCCUAUUACAAUAUGAGUUUUCCUAGAAUUCUCCUAGAUAUAAGUAGAGAAGAUAGGAUGGAGGUUAUGAUUAUUAAUGUUAUAGUAACUACUGGAUCAUUUUCCAACAUGCAUGGCAUCAUAUCACUCCUCUGCUUAAAACUCUCUGGGUGUUUUCCAUUGCACUUUGACAUAUUAAAAUUCCUUUUCAUGGCCACGUAAUCUGAUUCCAGUCUACUUCUGAACGUCAUAUUGUACCAGUGUCUUCUUGUUCACCUUACUAUAGUCACAACAGUCUUCUCUGUGUUCCAAGGCACCAAGCCGGUUGCUGCCUCAGGGCCUUAGCACUUACUGUUCUUGCUGUCUGAAUACUCUUCCCUGAGGUCAUUCAGACUCAGCCUCAAAGUUUAAACCCAAAGGUCCCUCCCCAGACCAAUCUGGCUAAUAUUAGCUGCUCAUUUCCCACCCCAGGAAAUCCAUACCUUAUGACCCUGUCUUUUCUAUCUUUAUCUAAAAUUACUUUGCUUUUACCUGUGUAAAAUUCCCAUCCCUCACUAGAACGUAACAGGUGCAGAAUAAGGACCUUGUCUGCCUUUCUACCAAUAGUCCGUUGGCUGGAGACUGCCUCCCAGUAGAAGCUACAUGACUAUCUGCUGUGCAAGUGAAGACCUGGGCCACCUUUUAGGGACGGUUGUGCCUCGUCUCAGAAAGCUUCUUCCCCAUGUCCAUCAGUCGGGUCUGACUGAUUUGUAGCUGGCUAAGACCCUAGCCUCCCCCUUGCUUUCUCUCUGCUGUCUGCCCUCCCUCUCCCAGUACUCCACAGGCUGUUACCUUGAUGGCCCCCGUGGCUAUCUGGAUAUGGUGCAGCCGCCUCAGAGUGCUCUCUCUGUCGAUGAAGUAGGAGGCUGCCAGCUGGUGCAAAGUCUCCAGGGACACGGCAGAGCUGUUCCCACUGCCCCCAACUACAGGUGCACUUCCUGCUGUCUCUGUCUUGCGGCUCAGUUUCCGCUUGUCCACAAAAAUGGUCAGGGACUCUUCUCCUAAAGCAAACAACAUGGGUCCAUUGGUGAGGCCUUCUGAAUCCCCUGCCAAUUAGAACAUGAAACCCUUGGCCAGAACAGUCAGAGCUCAGAGGGAGCCCAUUGCCCCUGCUGACAACCUCUUCCUCAUCACUGUCUUUAGAACAGUCUCAUCACACAGUGCCCAAGGUGACCGGCAUCACUGCCUGAGAGGCCCUCCUCCUUUUCCUUCAUUCUUUAACUAUCCCAUAGCUCAUCCCCUCCCCUCCAGCUUAUCCAUUUAACAUCCUUUAUUGAUCUCAGUCUCAGGCAAUCUACCUCCAUGGGGGAGAUAAAAUUUUCUCUCUCAAGUUGUUUAUGAGAAGUCACCAUGGAUAUUUCUGCUCCCUCAGAAAGGGCAAAAGCCUUGAAGCUCACCCGCCCUCUUCCCCAUCAGACACUCAACACCUACCACAUGCCGGCAGCUGGCCUGAACCCUUGGAGAGAUCCUUUUUGUCCAUCAGACAGUGAGCUAAAUGUUAUAAUAAACCUUGCUUUCUUCUUCCCAGGGCAGAGAGAACCCUGCCUCUUCAGAGCUUUUGAUUUGGCCACAGGUACACCAUCCCCACUCCCAACCUUGUCCCUAUCCAGCCCAGAAUCACUAGAAUUGGUUUGUCCAGUUACCAGUCUUUAGGGAGGUAAGCAGGGGUCAGGGACUCAAUGGACAUUUGCUUUUUUGCCCAUGGGUCUGACAACUAGAGCCACAGCAAAUAUUAGGAUGUGGAAAAGCCUCUGGGUGAGAAGGCUCUGUCAAAAGAAAACUAGGAGCGCCCCCUGCUGGCAAGUGCUUAGUAGGAGCCUGUCAGUCCCCCAACCUCCUUACCCCGCACCCCCUCCUCAGGAGGAUGCUUAUAAGCAAAUAGCAAUGUUCUAGGUAAAUUUGGAUGUCAAGAGAUUAUACCGCUCUCAAAGGCACCAGAAAGAAAAAUAUUUCUCAGGCAAUACCAGGCAAGGAAGAACAAAGACCCAGGAAGACUCAAGCUAUAUUCCUUGGGUCUUAAAGCUAUUUUCAAUGAUCUGACAGCCAAUUAGUGUAAGAUCAUGAUGUUGCUUACCUCCAAGGGUGGCAGAAAGUAAGAAAUGAGUGCCGUACUUUUUUAUCAGGUUUUCAGUAACCUGUUGUAAGUUGGGUCUCCUUCCGAGGAGGCGGAUGUUCCGGAUAAAUUCUGGGGCAAGAGGCAAUGGCAAACUGAAGAAGUCCCUCCUUUCCAGAGCCAAGUUGUUUACUUUCCAACGGGCAAACUCCCUGGAGGAAAAGUCAAGGGAUGAAGAAAAGCUCAAUGUAUUUAAGAACAAGAAACAUAAAAUCUGAAAGAGGUCAUGUUCUUCCUCCACUUGUAGCCUCCUCACUCCCCUCAGCACACAUCCCUCCACAUGGAGGCACCCACUGCCUGCAAGAGGCCGUUUGGCCUUCCACCCAGCUUCCCAUUCCCAGGCUGUCAACUGACUUCCAUCAGAACCUAUUCCCAUCUGCUUUCUCACUGGAGUCUCUGAUUUGCUUACUCAUAUGCAGGUAGCCAUGUAGUAGUGUAGUACGGGAAAACAAUUAUGCAAACAGUGAAAACAUGAGAACAAUGGAUUGCAGAGACAUGAUUUAGUCACAGUUGCCACUCAAUGGAUGAGUCGCAUCACCUAUCAUGGCCUCAGUUACCCAUUUGAAAGUGAGGAGUAUGGUCUACAACAGUGGUUCUCAAACUUUUGACCCGUUCACACUCUUAACACAUGAAGGAGUCCCCCAUAUUUAUGCGGCUUAUCUCUGUUGAUAAUUACCACUUUAAAAAUUAAAACAGAAAAUUUUUUUAUUAGUUCACUUAAAGAUAACAGCAGUAAAUCUAUUACAUAUAACAUAAAUGACAUAUUUUUAUUACCAUAACCAUAUGUUCUGAAACAAAGCCAACUUAGCAAGAAGAGUGGUAUUACUUUGCAUUUUUGCAAGUGUCUUUAAUAUUUGGCUUACCAGAAGAAGGCUACUUUCUCAUAUUUGCUUCUGCAUGUAUUCUUACGUAGUCUUUGUGGAUAUUCACUAAAUGCAACAAAUGUCGUUCCUUAAAGGUUACAGAGUGGAAUCUGAAACCACAUCCAACGCACUUUUUAUACCCUAUUACAUUAAAAUCCAGUGUUCUAUAUUGUAUUUUGAAUGGAUCUUUUUACCCUUUGUGAUUUUGAAACAUCACGCAUUGGUCAUCCAAAAAGUAUGGGAUCACUGAAUUAUUCAGGUCUUCCACAUUGUGAUACUUCAUUAUAUAAUGUCAAAACACCGUAUUUGUUAAUAUCACAAAUCCCAUGCAUAAAGUUGCUAAGCACUAGAACUGCUACCAAGCUCAUAAUGACAAAUACAAGUUUUCCAAAAUUCUAAUUUUCAUUUGAAAGCUUAAAUUUUAUCAUUGGCAACAGAUACUGUUAGCUGUUUUCCUUGAAGAGGUAGGCUUACUUUAUCCCUGCCCCCUUUAUUUUUUGAGAAAAUGUUUGCCAGACACUAAAGUGUCUAAAUAACCACAGUUUAUCUGUUGGCUGUUCUUUGAAGAAAAAUUCAGUUCCAAUGAAAACGCGACUAGUUCAGCUUACAAUUCAAUCACAAAAGCAUCUUUCCCUGAGACAAUCAUCAUUCUUCAGUAGCCUUAGACUCAUUUUAUGUUUACUUUAUAUUUCAUCAUACAAAAUAUUAAAAAGAUGUGUAGGGGUGCCUGGCUGGCUCAGUUGGUAGAGCAUGCAACUCUUGAUCUCUAGGUCAUGAGUUCAAGGCUCACACUGGGCAUGGAGCCUAUUUUAAAAAAAAGGUGUAUACUUAAGGGUCAAGAUCUAAUAAAAUUAAUAAAUUUAACUGCU